rnacentral:rRNA from 1 species
CCCUUAGAUGUUCUGGGCCGCACGCGUGCUACACUGAGUGGAUCAACGGGUCAGGUUGCGCGAAAGUGUUUCCUAAUCUUUAAAUCCGCUCGUGAUGGGGAUUGACGGUUGCAAUUUUCCGUCAUGAACGAGGAAUACCUUGUAAGCGCGGGUCAUCAUCCCGCGCUGAAUACGUCCCUGCCCUUUGUACACACCGCCCGUCGUUCCUACCGAUUGAGUGGUCCGGUGAGGCUUUGGGAUCUGAGCGGAAAGAGCGUUUCGCUGUUUCUGCCCGGAAAACUCAGUCGAACCUUAUCAUUUAGAGGAAGGAGAAGUCGUAACA